UGAUGAUGAUGAUGGUGAUGGUGGUGGUGAUGAUGGUGGUGAUGAUGUAGCAUCAGCAUCAUCAUUAUCCUCUCCUUAUCAUCAUCGUCAUCACCUUCC
rnacentral:miRNA from 1 species